rnacentral:rRNA from 1 species
GAACGCUGGCGGCGUGCUAAUACAUGCAAGUAGAACGCUGAAGAGAGGACUUGCUCUUCUUGGAUGAGUUACGAACGGGUGAGUAACGCGUAGGUAACCUGCCUUGUAGCGGGGGUUAACUAUUGGAAACGAUAGCUAAUACCGCAUAACAAUGGGUGACACAUGUCAUUUAUUUGAAAGGGGCAAUUGCUCCACUACAAGAUGGACCUGCGUUGUAUUAGCUAGUAGGUGAGGUAACGGCUCACCUAGGCGACGAUACAUAGCCGACCUGAGAGGGUGAUCGGCCACACUGGGACUGAGACACGGCCCAGACUCCUACGGGAGGCAGCAGUAGGGAAUCUUCGGCAAUGGGGGCAACCCUGACCGAGCAACGCCGCGUGAGUGAAGAAGGUUUUCGGAUCGUAAAGCUCUGUUGUAAGUCAAGAACGAGUGUGAGAGUGGAAAGUUCACACUGUGACGGUAGCUUACCAGAAAGGGACGGCUAACUACGUGCCAGCAGCCGCGGUAAUACGUAGGUCCCGAGCGUUGUCCGGAUUUAUUGGGCGUAAAGCGAGCGCAGGCGGUUUGAUAAGUCUGAAGUUAAAGGCUGUGGCUCAACCAUAGUUCGCUUUGGAAACUGUCAAACUUGAGUGCAGAAGGGGAGAGUGGAAUUCCAUGUGUAGCGGUGAAAUGCGUAGAUAUAUGGAGGAACACCGGUGGCGAAAGCGGCUCUCUGGUCUGUAACUGACGCUGAGGCUCGAAAGCGUGGGGAGCGAACAGGAUUAGAUACCCUGGUAGUCCACGCCGUAAACGAUGAGUGCUAGGUGUUGGAUCCUUUCCGGGAUUCAGUGCCGCAGCUAACGCAUUAAGCACUCCGCC